rnacentral:rRNA from 1 species
GUGGGGAAUAUUGGGCAAUGGGGGAAACCCUGACCCAGCAACGCCGCGUGAAGGAAGAAGGUUUUCGGAUCGUAAACUUCUAUCCUUGGUGAAGAUAAUGACGGUAGCCAAGAAGGAAGCCCCGGCUAACUACGUGCCAGCAGCCGCGGUAAUACGUAGGGGGCAAGCGUUGUCCGGAAUGAUUGGGCGUAAAGGGCGCGUAGGCGGCCUGGUAAGUCUGGAGUGAAAGUCCUGCUUUUAAGGUGGGAAUUGCUUUGGAUACUGUCGGGCUUGAGUGCAGGAGAGGUAAGCGGAAUUCCCGGGGUAGCGGUGAAAUGCGUAGAGAUCGGGAGGAACACCAGUGGCGAAGGCGACUUACUGGACUGUAACUGACGCUGAGGCGCGAAAGUGUGGGGAGCAAACAGGAUUAGAUACCCGGGUAGUCC